UCGCACAGCCAAGCCCAGCUCCGGAGGAGCGGGUCCGCUGCAGUUCCGUUCCCCGGGAUCGUUCACCAUCAUUAAUUGUUGAUUUGUUUUGAAGAAGAGAUAGUGAUUUAUUUGCAGCGGGAUGAAGUUACAGACCUAGAUUCCUGACCAGAGGCUCUCAACGUAAACAAUGCACAACCUAUAAAUUAACCAUUCUCCAUCUGGCGAUUCCGAUGUAAAAUUCAUAGUUUUUCACCUCACAGGCAGUGCCAACCCCCUCCCACACACACACACACACACACACACUUCCCUCUCGACUGCUUUCUAACAGAGCUUAAUGCAAAGGGGGAGGGAAAAGGAAGAAAUUUAAAAAAAAAAAAAAAGAAGAAGAAGAAAAAAAAAGCCAGCCAGCAUGAAAGAACCGGGCUGGCACAAGUCCCUCCAUUGCUUUCGUUCAUUAACUUGAACUAGAGAACUGCAUGAGGACAUUCCAAUUUUAAGGACUAACAGAUGGGGAUCUUGGGAAAAAAGCUGACAGCUGAGAAAUGGCAUAGACUUUCAAGACACCCCAGCACAGCAUGCCACUGUGGGAUGAAGAAGGGAUGGAGCUGCACAGAACUGCUUUUGACAGCAAAAAGUUGACUGUUCUACCAACUUCCAUAUCUACAGAUUGCUUCAGAGGAACUGUUGAGCAAAUCCCUUCAUGCAGAUAUCACUGGAGUCUGGAAAAGGGCCAGCAGAACUAACAGAGAAUUUGAAUGGAAGCCAACUGACUUUUUUUAAAAUUUCUAACAUUAAAGGGCAAUAUUUCCCCUUUUUUUACCAUGUCUAUCUGAACUCACUUAAUGCAGUAGGUUUGUGAAAAGGAUCCUUUUGUUUCCAGAGCAGGCACAGUCACUUUUCCCUUGUUUCUCUCCUACAACUCUUGAACAAUUGUAUCAAAAUAUUUUACUAGAAAAACAAUUAUAAUAGGCUACCACAUUCUGUUUCUGUACUAAGCCCUUCACACCAAUAAGGUUUUUGCCACGUAGGAGGGAGAGUUAAUGCCUAUAUGCUCUUCCUACUUGCAAGCAAAGUGAUUUGUUUCAAAGAGAAAAAAAUAGCUCAUUUACUGGUUGGGUUCUUGAAUUGAAUAACUGAAGUUACUAUGAACAUGAGUUACUUUGCAACUAAUUUUAGCAUCUCGUGUCUGAAGUAAGCCACAUGGAAACAGUGACUUAAGAUGGCUGGAAUUUUAGACUCAUGCUGUGAGUUCUGUUGCCAGCGUUGUCUCUUGUAAACAAAAAGCUGAUUAAGAUACGGUGAUGCUCAGAAGGUAUCUUUAACAAAUAUACAGUACUAAUUCUGAAGUUUAGUAAGUAACACUUCAAUAUUAAUGCUAACUAAUCUGACUACCAAAUAUAUCUAUCUGUGUCUGUCUUGUUUUGCCAAUAAAAAUACUGGAGUCU
rnacentral:lncRNA from 7 species